AGAGUUUGAUCCUGGCUCAGGAUGAACGCUGGCGGCGUGCUUAACACAUGCAAGUCGAACGAGGUUAUUACAGUUGAAGUUUUCGGAUGGAUACAGUUUUAACCGAGUGGCGGACGGGUGAGUAACGCGUGGGGAACCUGCCCCAUUCCGGGGGAUACCAGUUGGAAACGACUGUUAAUACCGCAUAAGCGCACGGUAUCGCAUGAUACAGUGUGAAAAACUCCGGUGGAAUGGGAUGGCCCCGCGUCUGAUUAGGCAGUUGGCGGGGUAACGGCCCACCAAACCGACGAUCAGUAGCCGACCUGAGAGGGUGACCGGCCACAUUGGGACUGAGACACGGCCCAAACUCCUACGGGAGGCAGCAGUGGGGAAUAUUGCACAAUGGGGGAAACUCUGAUGCAGCGACGCCGCGUGGGUGAAGAAGGUCUUCGGAUCGCAAAGCUCUGUUGUUGGGGACGAACGUGCUUUUUGCGAACAGUGGAAAGCAAUGACGGUACCCGACGAGGAAGCCACGGCUAACUACGUGCCAGCAGCCGCGGUAAUACGUAGGUGGCGAGCGUUGUCCGGAAUCGUUGGGCGUAAAGGGAGCGCAGGCGGGGAGGCAAGUCGGUCUUAAAAGUGCGGGGCUCAACCCCGUGAGGGGAUCGAAACUGCUUCUCUUGAGUACCGGAGAGGAAAGCGGAAUUCCCAGUGUAGCGGUGAAAUGCGUAGAGAUUAGGAGGAACACCAGUGGCGAAGGCGGCUUUCUGGACAGUAACUGACGCUGAGGCGCGAAAGCGUGGGGAGCAAACAGGAUUAGAUACCCUGGUAGUCCACGCUGUAAACGAUGAAUACUAGGUGUAGGGGUCAUUAGACUUCUGUGCCGCAGCAAACGCAAUAAGUAUUCCACCUGGGGAGUACGACCGCAAGGUUGAAACUCAAAGGAAUUGACGGGGGCCCGCACAAGCAGUGGAGUAUGUGGUUUAAUUCGAAGCAACGCGAAGAACCUUACCAGGUCUUGACAUCCGACUGACGAGAUAGAGAUAUGUCAGGUGCCCUUCGGGGAAAGUCGAGACAGGUGGUGCAUGGUUGUCGUCAGCUCGUGUCGUGAGAUGUUGGGUUAAGUCCCGCAACGAGCGCAACCCUUGCCAUUAGUUGCUACGCAAGAGCACUCUAAUGGGACCGCUACCGACAAGGUGGAGGAAGGUGGGGACGACGUCAAAUCAUCAUGCCCCUUAUGACCUGGGCUACACACGUAAUACAAUGGCCGUAAACAGAGGGAAGCAAAGUCGCGAGGCGGAGCAAAUCCAGAAACAGCGUCCCAGUUCGGACUGUAGUCUGCAACCCGACUAUACGAAGCUGGAAUCGCUAGUAAUCGCAGAUCAGAAUGCUGCGGUGAAUACGUUCCCGGGUCUUGUACACACCGCCCGUCACACCAUGGGAGUCGAUAACGCCCGAAGCCGGUGACCUAACGCAAGAAGGAGCCGUCGAAGGUAGGGCCGAUAAUUGGGGUGAAGUCGUAACAAGGUAGCCGUAUCGGAAGGUGCGGCUGGAUCACCUCCUU
rnacentral:rRNA from 1 species